rnacentral:rRNA from 1 species
UACGGAGGGUGCAAGCGUUAUCCGGAUUCACUGGGCUUAAAGGGUGCGUAGGUGGGCAGGUAAGUCCGUGGUGAAAUCUCUGAGCUUAACUCAGAAACUGCCGUGGAUACUAUUUGUCUUGAAUAUUGUGGAGGUGAGCGGAAUAUGUCAUGUAGCGGUGAAAUGCUUAGAUAUGACAUAGAACACCGAUUGCGAAGGCAGCUCACUGCACAAUUAUUGACGCUGAGGCACGAAAGCGUGGGGAUCAAACAGG